UUUAUGGAGAGUUUGAUCCUGGCUCAGGAUGAACGCUGGCGGCGUGCCUAAUACAUGCAAGUCGAGCGAACGGAUGAGAAGCUUGCUUCUCUGAUGUUAGCGGCGGACGGGUGAGUAACACGUGGAUAACCUACCUAUAAGACUGGGAUAACUUCGGGAAACCGGAGCUAAUACCGGAUAAUAUUUUGAACCGCAUGGUUCA
rnacentral:rRNA from 1 species